rnacentral:rRNA from 1 species
GAGAGUUUGAUCCUGGCUCAGAUUGAACGCUGGCGGCAGGCUUAACACAUGCAAGUCGAGCGGAGAUGAGGUGCUUGCACCUUAUCUUAGCGGCGGACGGGUGAGUAAUGCUUAGGAAUCUGCCUAUUAGUGGGGGACAACAUUCCGAAAGGAAUGCUAAUACCGCAUACGUCCUACGGGAGAAAGCAGGGGAUCUUCGGACCUUGCGCUAAUAGAUGAGCCUAAGUCGGAUUAGCUAGUUGGUGGGGUAAAGGCCUACCAAGGCGACGAUCUGUAGCGGGUCUGAGAGGAUGAUCCGCCACACUGGGACUGAGACACGGCCCAGACUCCUACGGGAGGCAGCAGUGGGGAAUAUUGGACAAUGGGGGGAACCCUGAUCCAGCCAUGCCGCGUGUGUGAAGAAGGCCUUAUGGUUGUAAAGCACUUUAAGCGAGGAGGAGGCUACUGAGACUAAUACUCUUGGAUAGUGGACGUUACUCGCAGAAUAAGCACCGGCUAACUCUGUGCCAGCAGCCGCGGUAAUACAGAGGGUGCGAGCGUUAAUCGGAUUUACUGGGCGUAAAGCGUGCGUAGGCGGCUUUUUAAGUCGGAUGUGAAAUCCCCGAGCUUAACUUGGGAAUUGCAUUCGAUACUGGGAAGCUAGAGUAUGGGAGAGGAUGGUAGAAUUCCAGGUGUAGCGGUGAAAUGCGUAGAGAUCUGGAGGAAUACCGAUGGCGAA